CCUACGGGAGGCAGCAGUAGGGAAUCUUGCGCAAUGGGCGAAAGCCUGACGCAGCGACGCCGCGUGAGGGAUGAAGGCCUUCGGGUUGUAAACCUCUUUCAGCAGGGACGAAGCGAAAGUGACGGUACCUGCAGAAGAAGCCCCGGCCAACUACGUGCCAGCAGCCGCGGUAAUACGUAGGGGGCAAGCGUUGUCCGGAAUCAUUGGGCGUAAAGAGCUCGUAGGCGGCCGUCCACGUCGGAUGUGAAAGCUCGGAGCUCAACUCUGAGAGGCCAUUCGAUACGGGACGGCUAGAGGUAGGUAGGGGAAAGUGGAAUUCCUGGUGUAGCGGUGAAAUGCGCAGAUAUCAGGAGGAACACCGGUGGCGAAGGCGGCUUUCUGGGCCUUACCUGACGCUGAGGAGCGAAAGCUGGGGGAGCAAACAGGAUUAGAUACCCUAG
rnacentral:rRNA from 1 species